UCUACCAUGGGUGUGGGCUCUGGGCUGGGGGUGGACUCUGGAUGCUGAGUCAGGGGGUGGGGGGUCAUAAAAAGAUCAUGGCUUGGGUGGGGUAAGCUGUGGGCUGGCCUGUGACCUGCAGCUGCCUCUUCUGUCCUAUGGGUGCUUUGAGGGGAAAGCUCACCUGUGAAGGUGCACUGAUAGCUUCUUCCCCUGCCUGCUUUACCAAGCAGGUAUAAUAAGCAAACACAUAACCACCCUAGAAAAUCCAGAUAUUUCAUAAAGAUAUUUUCCUACAAUUCAAAUCAUUAUUAACUAACAUCUUGAUAUACAUAUAUAACAAAAGCCACCGGAUAUAGCUACACUAAUACAAUGGUCCAAUUUUUGUAAUACGCUGUAACAUGCUUCUAUAAGGGUCUACAGGAUGCUCCGUUGGUCAAAUACCUCUCUUAUAUUUAUGAUGGUAUAAUAAUCCGUGGACUGAAGGGAGGUAUUAGAAUUGAACCAGUACCAUAUGAAUGGGUAUUUGUGUCCUUCAGUCAUUUUCUCUUAAAUCCUGAUAGGCGACACCUCACUGCCCCCAGCCCCCAUUUAGCAGAUGAACACACACCUACUUAGGGUCAUAAACCAGCUCUGAGCCUCUGCCAGGGGCCGAGAGGGGACGAAGAUCCUGGGGCUGACAGCUACCCCUUUACAGAGUUGCGGAGAGAAGGGGACACCUAUGUUGUGAUUGCAGGGCCCCUUAAAGUCUAGAAGCCUCCCAUGUCAUGGUUUAAAGGUAGGUGCAGGGCUGGAAGGCAGCCUAGACCCUGAAAGGACUGGUCCCCCCACCACCAUCCAGGUUCACAGACACUUGUUGUUGGUCUUGUCCCCUCUGCCCUGUCCUGUCCCCAUCUUCCUUGCCUGCUCCUGGCUUUUCUUCCAACCUUGAUGAGUAACUGUGGGCUCAGGGUCACUUCUAGAUGCCCCGCACGGCCUGCCUGACAUCACCAGGCAGCCCUGUGGUGCUCCCCUGCCCCGUCCUCUCCAGCCUCCUGUUAAGACGCUGCAGGACUUGCUGGUGGUGGUCCUGGCUGUCAGCUGCGUCACUCUGCUGCUGGUCCUGCUCCUGCUGACCCUGAGGAUGGUAUUGGAGGCCUCCCAGCUGAGCUGACUUCUAGGCUGGCUGGGGAACAUGCUGAGGUGGGUCAGGGCCAGGCCGGACACCGAGGAGAGGCAGCCGGUGGCCAGGGCAAUGGAGAGACCAUCUGAGGAGGAGACUGAUGGAGGGUCCCAGACAACCACUGAGGAAAGCGGGGAGGCAAGGGGCUCUUCAGGAGACCACUAAAUCACCCUUUAUAUCCACAGAAUAAAGCUUUCUACUUCUCUAGUGCUCUGGUCUUGCCUUAACACCCUCUGGCACUUGUGUGUAUUGGUACCACGUGUUGGGAACAAAGCUGACCUGAACUGUGUGAUGUGAAAGUGAAUUCUCUGGAGAAGCUGUGGCAGCACUGGGUUCCUGGAGAAGAAGAUGGGGUCUGGUGCCUAAUUAGCAGCAGCCCAGAAGGUUGCCCUGGCCGGGGGUCUGCACGGACACCUCCUGCACACUCAGAACUGGAGCAAAGGAUCUUGCCCCUGGCCCCCGUCCGCAGCCCCCAGCUCAGAGAGUUGGCCGUCUUGUCCUGUUCUGACAAGUUGCUGCAGUAACGUGAAUUAGUGGUGGGAGUGAGCAGGUGGGAGGAGGGGGGCUUUAGCUCCAGUCCUAUUUCUGCCACCCAUGAGCUGAAGGAAACAAGGCCAGUGCAUUUUUGGAGCUGUUUUUCAUUUAUAAAAUGUGUGCAUUUGUGGAGCUGGACUAGCAGCUGCUGAACAUUAGCUUGAAUGGUCUCAGAGUCAGGACUCCUAUUCUGCCCAUGGGUGGGCUCACACCAGUGGGCUCGGCCCUCAGCUCAUUCCCAAGGAAACUCAAGUCCUUGGUUCCCAUCCAGCCACACAUUCUCUCUGUAAUUCAGCUCCUCCUGUCGAGAGAUGUGUCCAGACCUGGGGCUCGGGCCAGCAGCUCCAUGUCUCUGACUUGGAGCAGGAACAUGCUGGGGCCCUGGUGUCUCCCCUAGUCACCCAGGGUUGUGGUGGGUGUCAAGGGUCACGCUUCUCGGAGGCCAUAUGAGCAGUGGACCGGAUGCUGGGCUUUGAAGCACAAGCCCUGCCUGCUCUGCUGAGCAAAGUUUCCUUGGAUGAGGAUGAACUGCUUGAUUAGCACUGUGGGUCUCCAUUGUUCCAGCGGCAUAACACGUCCUCUGCCCACAAACUGGGAUUGGAGAGGGUGACGUCCAAGACCCUUCCCCUUGACAACCUAGAACAAACAACUCAUUCCUUCUCUCCUUCUCUGUAAAAGUGGGGUCUUAGGAGGUGCUAUUAUGGGGCAAUUAAGAGCAAUGCCUUUGGAAUUAAAAAAAAAACAAAACGUGUUUGUUAGCCAUCUGCGUGUCUUCUUUGGGGAAAUGUCUAUUUAGGUCUUCUGCACAUCUGUGGAUUGGGUUAUUUGCUUUUUUGGUAUUAAGCUGCAUGAGCUGCUUGUGUAUUUUAGAGUGUAAUCCUUUGUCAGUUGCUUCGUUGGCAAAUAUUUUCUCCCAUUCUGAGGGCUGUCUUCCAGUCUUGUUUAUGGUUUCUUUUGCUGUGCAAAAGUUUUUGU